rnacentral:lncRNA from 1 species
GGCCACAAGGUGCAAAACUAAUUGAAUAUAUCACCAAAAUAAACAAUCGUACCAUACCAAUGUAAGUUUAUGUCACAUAUUACAUUAAAAUCAUUAUUAAUUCGUAUAUUAGCAACUUAAAGCUAAGGAUCAGAUAAAGUAGUAGACAAAUAGUGGUUGCUUAGUUUGUGCUGAGCUGUUUUCUCGUGGAUGAGAAACUGAUAGCAUCGAUCCCACAUCAUGUCGUAUUUUUCUUAUCAGAAAAUUCUAUUUUUUAUUAAGGAAGAAAACAUUUUGAAAGAGAAUCAGCCAAAAGCAUUGCCAGUUUUGAAAGACGUCUUAGAGUUUUGUGUGUUUCUCUCUAAACAUAAAAAUUUAUAGGAUAAGAAAAUCACAGGUUCACAGCUCAAGCAAUGGAAGACCCACAAGUGACGUAUACUGUGGGAAGAAAACAAUGGCACAUCUUAAAUUAUAUUGGCAUUUUAUAUAGUGGUCCAGCCUACAUGAUAAUCCUCUCACUGUUGCUUUUGUUAGGAGGUGGGUUGGAUCUUAUCUUUAGAAAACAACUCUCAAUGACAAUGAUAUUAUCACAUCAUGAUAAUCCCAUUACCAGGAUAAUAAAGUAGUUGCCAGUUUUAUCUGAACAUAGUGCGCUCUAAUCAACAAAUCAAAGCAAAUCAACUUUUAUUAACCUAGUCAGGAGGAGAUCUAUGAAUCAUGCAUAAAGAUACUCUCAACUUGACUACCUCCCAGAUAAGGAAGACGUCUCUCUGCCAAUAUCCUGAUUCUGACAAUCUUACCUCUUUUAUUAGUUGAUUCCCCAACGUAAUAUUAUUUUGCUCGAUUUGUUACUUGAACUUUUAAAUUCAUGUUGUGAUGUACUCCACUCAUCAGCCAGCUGUCCUUUUCUCAAGCAAACCUUUACUUCCUUCCCAUAAUCACCCUCGAUCGCUUCAGGUAUUUUCAUUAAUUACCAUCCUAAUCUCCCUUUUUGAGCUGUUUAGGUGAUAAACUGAUUUUGUCCUUGAUUUCUUCCAAUAUUUUUAUUUUUUCGAGCUCCAAAAUCACCAUUACUGAGGAAUCUCCUUACCAAAUGUUAGAUCUCUGAUUCAAAAACUCGUAUCCCAAAAUCCAAGUAUUUAAUUCGUCAUUAUUAAUUUGCUCCAAAUCUUCUAUUCAACUUCUCCUCCUUUCACAUAGGGUCAAACGUUGAUUUUAUUUCUAACAGUCCGAUUUUUUUUUUAAGUCGAUAAACACCAAUGUUGAAUGUGACGGUUUCCCUAAGUAUCCUACCACAUCCUGCGAACCUGUAAAAACAACAACAGAUUAAAUUCAUUAUAAAACAUAAUUAAUCAAAUAUAGAAGAAUCAAAAUAAAUAUACAUAUACCUCACACGACGAACAACGCAUACCUGGGAAUUACAACGGAACACGUAAACGGGAGACACGACGACGGUUUAACGGCAGACGGAACGAGUCAACGGAAACGGUAAACGUUGACGGAACAAACAACGGCGAACACAGUCAGCGAUCCAAACCGGAUGUAGAAAUUGGAAUUCAAAAUAUAAACCAAGUCCCUUUGUUCCAUUUAAUUUUAAAUAACCACUUCUAUUACUGUUCUUCAAUUCUAGAUAUUUUUCGAUAGCAAAUGAAGUACUAUGUACAAUUCAUCUUCACGCAACAAAACAAAAAACUUCAAGACGGUGUCGUUUUCGUCUCCGAUUCAAUAACAAACCCGAUCAAAGAUCAUCAGCCUUCGACAUAGACGAUAGCCUACUAGGCCUAGGCUGAUAAGCAGACCUCCUUUUCAGCUGAUGCGAAGAAGGCCUUAUCAAAGUCGUCAACGCUCUUCUCACCCACUCGCCUUCAACCCCACCGAUCCUCACCAGAGAAUUCGUCAUCGCCGAUCUCCUCAUAUUCAAACUGUUCGUCGGAUACGCCGCCGCCGUCGCGGCGCCUUGCCCGUGGGGAUUCGCCACGUUCUUGUGCAGACUGCACCGGAACGAUCCGGGGUGAGUCGUCGGCGAGCACAUGCAUCUCCUCCUCGAAUCGGGGAUCUUGUUGCCGCUGGCGCUGGGCUUCGAAACGGCGAUGGAUCUGGUGUUGUCGAUCGAGUAACGGAACGAUGAUUGUUUUAAGGGGGAGGAUGCGAAGAGGUUAACGCGCGUAGGGGACGCGGAUCUGUGGGGUUGAUGAUGGUUGCUGAAGAAAGUACGGGAGGAGAAGGUGGAGCUUGUGGAGGAAGCGAAGCCUGGUGAAGACGGAGAGCGUAGCGCAGAAGCGGUUGAUCUGGUUCUAGAAGAUGUAACCGCCAUUUUUUUUUUGAGAGACUCUAAUUGGAAGAGAAGGUGUUGUUUCUAGAAGAAGGCGAGAAAGUUUUUUUUUGUUUCUUAAGUCCCCUGAGGAUAGUUGGUUCGGCAAACCUAGUGAGUCUCAGAAGGGGAAUUUAUAGGUGAGGACGAUGAAUGGUGUUUUUUGUAAUUAUUGAGAAAGUUUGUGACCUUUUGCGUAAUUUAGGGAAUUUGGUUAAGUGACUUAACCAUGGUUUGUUUAUCAACUUGUAGGAUUCUGAUCCAACGGCUGAGAAGGAUGGUUCAGCUGAGUGCUUUUUGUGGGCACUUACAAUGGGCGCAUGAUUGAUGAAAUAGCUGAUAAAACUAUAGGCCAACAAAAAGAAAUAGUUUAUGUCAAAUUGUAGAUGCUUGUUUUUGAAAAUGGUUACUUCAAAAAUAUAAAACCUAAGAAAUAAUAACAACUAUGCAUUCUUUAUCUUUUUUUUUGCUAACAUUUGGUGCAACUAUGCAUUCUUUGUCCAGUCCCACAAACAAAAAAAGUCGUAUAAGAAUAAGUUGACGGUUUGUGACCAUGAUAAACCCCAUCUUAAUAAAACAUUCAAACCAAGUACGAACGUAGGCCAUUCAUUGUUAAUAAGUAAGAACCAGCUUUCUAGAAUUAAAACGUGAUUCAAACUUAUGAUCAGUUUUUUUUUUUAAAAACUUAUUACCGUUGGUUGAUAGGCCAAACCAUCUACGUGCUUAUAAAACCCAUUGAUUCAAAAGAAUACCAGAAUAUGAUAUAACAUGUAUAUGGAAAUAUCUCAUAUGUUGUAAAGUACCUCCUUCGUUUUUGAUAUUUUUAAAACUAAACUUAUGCCUAGUAAUUAGUCAUAAUUUUCUUAAUAGUUUUACAUAAUAUUAUUAAAAAAUAGUCUAGAAGUUCAUGGGAGUGAGAGUAGAAUGAGCACAUGAUGGUGAUGAAUAUGUUCCCAGCUGCGGGGAGAGUGACUCUAACACCAUUAUGUGUCAGCCUGUCAGAUUUUGGGUCAUAUUCUUCAAAAUCUAUGGGAACAAAUACAAAAUAUACUCACACUCUUUUUCUAGCCUUUUAACCGCCAAUCUUUUUAUUUUGUUUUUUUUUCUGGUUUAGAAAGAUUCAGUGUUAGUGGUCGUCUAAAAAGUAUCACUGAUUCACUGCUAUGUUCAUUAAGUUGGAAGGUGAGUAGAUCUACUAAAUUGAUAAUUUGAUAGUGAGACUUAUUUAUGUAGGAAACAUCUAAAAUAAGAUGGCUAGUUGGCUAUUGCCUGCAAUCUAUUGCUAUAUAAUAAACGUAAUAAUAAAUAAACUUAAUUGUGCAGGUUAGACAAUUAUAAGAAAAAAAAAACUAAUUUUCCAAAGAUGGGCCCUAUAUAAUAACCUCAGAGUAAUACUUGUAAGUCGCUGUUAAUAUCUGUAAAUAUGUAAUACUUAUUUGUAAACUUGGGGGAUUUAUAGUGCCCCAACAUGGAUCAAGAAUAAAACCAUUCGAAUAUGAUAAAACAUACUAAUAUAUCCAAUGUAUAACUAGAGGUGCAUAAUUAUUUUCCCACCAAUAUAAAAAUUUGAAUUACAUGGAUUAAGAAAGAGGAAUUUAUUACGAAUAGGUUGAGCUUCUCUUUUUUGGGUCAAACAGUUUGAGCUUCUUAAUUUGCAACUUGCUGGUCUUAAGUCAGUCCGCUAGGCCACGGAGUCAAGUCCUGCGCUUUUAGAGUUCAGACUUUUCGUUAUAUGAUUAUUCUAUGUAAGAUUUGUCGAGUAAUAACUAUUGGCAUUGACUCAGAUUGGCAAUGGAAGAAAAAGCAGCACAACAAAUAUCUUUUUUUUCUUCUUAAUGACAAAUAUCUUUCUUUCUUUUUGAGAAAAAAUGACAAAUAUCUUUGAUCAGAAAAAAUGACAAAUAUCUUUUUAGUACAGUAAAGGGCGAAUGUAAUAAGCCAAUAGGAGAAAAAGAUAACAAUAAAUAUCUUCUUUAUGAAGGAUUUAUUUUAAUUCAUAAUUGGUGACACGUGUUUGAACAGUUGACUAAUUACAAUUUCUCAAAAAAUGUUUGUUUAUAAGCUGCUUUACAUAUGGUUUGCCAAUGGUUUUCGUUUUUAACUUACCAUUGUUUCAGCUCUUCAUUGUAUCUGAUUGGUAGUUGAAUAAGCCAUUGCGGCUAACCGCUGCUAGCAUUAGUAGUAUAAAAUAAAGGAGGUUCAGUGCACCCAUUGUAAUGGUGACGGUUAGUUCCGAGGAAUCUACAAAAUUUAAUUAGAUUAAAUAUCAGGCUAAUUAAUAAAUAUAGUAGUCACAAUCACAAAGCUUGUGUUGUGUCAUGUUGGGCAAGUGCUUGAGGGACAAGCAAAUCUUUUAAGCACAGGCCAAACUUAUGACACGUAUGAAUCCAUCAAAAUACAGUCGGCACCCACUUCUCAUCAGCCUCACGACAAGUGAAAGAAACUAAAAUAGUUUCUUUUUCUUCUUGAUUAGCAGGUGAUCGGUUAAUUAUUUAAUUCAAACAACGGAGUCGAGUUCUAACAUGGGUCAUGUGAUUAUCAUCGUUUAUUACAAGUUAACAAUCCUCAUGUUGAUCAGGAAGUAUUUGUACACCACAUGAUCAAGCAUAUUGUUUGUUUAAAAUUAAGAUGAAAAUGUGUAUUCUAUUCAUAAAACCAUAUUAUGAUUUAUGAAAUAUUCGAAUAUACUGUUUAAAGAAAAGAAUAUGAAUAAUUAACUAAAGCAUAUUUGAUAAAUUGUAAACGCCAAUUAGGCGCGCCUAAUUAUUGUUCAGUGGAAGUGUGAAGAACUUGAAAACCCAAAGCCAACGUUCUCGGAAGUCUGAUCAUUUAACCACUAAUAAUAAUAUCAACACCAGCCCUAUUUAUAAUUCAUAAACUAACCACACAUUUUUCUUAAGCAGUCUCAAGUUUGAGUUUAGUCAUAAUGUAGGAAAACGGUCAUAACCUACUCUAAGUUUGGCCAUAUAUUUAAUUCAUACCCAAAAUAUCUAAAGUUUAUUUUUUUUUGCGAAAAACUAUUACUUCCGUUAAUUAUGUAAAGCCCGUUAAUAAGCCGUUAAACAUUCAUACCCAAACCAUGUCAUUUCUACGUGUAUGAAUGUUUUACGGUUUAUUAGCGGGCUUUACAUAAUUAACGGAAGUAACAGUUUUUCGCAGAAAAAAAUUAAGGAUGAAAUUUGGUUUUUUUUUGAAAUUGUAGGUAUGUGUUCGCAUUCUUGUAUAUUUUUGGGUAUAAAUUGAACAUAUACCAAAUUUGGAAUGGCCGUUUCCCGUAAUAAUGCCAUUGUCAUCAUCACCUCUGAGUUCUUUCUAUAGACCUUUUCGCGUGAUUGCUAAAUAGCUGGCAUGACUAGUUUUUUAUUCCAUUAAAAAAAUUACAAACUUGAAGAUUAUAAACUAAAGUGCAAAAUAUUGAUAUUUUCUACCUUGUACAUAUUUUAUUUACGAAAUAUACCAUAUUAUCCCACUGCUAUAUGCAGUUGUAGAUUCACCUCUACGAGACCAUGGUCACAUGGUAGUUCAAUAUAAUUUCAACGAACAGUAUCUUAGCCAUGAGUUAUAUAUCCUCAAUUGCAAAUAUAAUUAACACUAUAAUACUUCGUAUAAAAGUUCUCAAGAGAAUUAGAAAACUUCUACAAGCCAGUCUUAAAUUUUAUUCUCUCAAGUUCGUGUAGACUCCUAGAACUGGAUAUUAAAGCAUCCAUUGGUGAUUAACUCUAAUAGUGUUUAUUUUAUACUUGGGUUUUAUGAAUUAAAGAAAGAAGACAAUUAAAGGGUGUAGAAUAGUUUAGUUAUCUUCUCGUGGGCUAAUACAACUUCAUUCGAACCAAACCAAAAUUUCGCUUUUACAAAAUCUAGGCCCAGACUUUACUAACCCAAGUAUAAUCUGUUCUGCAACGGUUGGACCGGAUUGACUCAUUUGCAGUUCCAAAAGCACUCUUUGGUGUAAACAUGAUGUUUGCAGUUUUGGUAAGAGAUAGAUAAGUAAUAUUUUACAUCAGAAAUGGAAUACGUUGAUCGUUAUAAUUUGAUAUACAUUGUCUAACUAUUUGUGAUUUAACGAAUAUCAAAGAUGAUGAUAUAGCUGUUGAAUAUUCUCGAAAGAAAAAAUAUGUGCAGAGACAAUCAGUUAAAGAACAUAAUCCAUUAAUUUUAGAAUUAGAGGCCCUUGUCGCGUCAAGAAUAUGUGCAAGAAGCUAAAACAUUGUCCAUUUUACCUAUUUACAUAAAUUAUUGUUAUUUUGCAAUCAAUUAUAAACGCAAUUGCAUAUAGACAGACAAUAAGCAAACUAUGGUUAGGCUAAAUAGCUGCUUAGAAGUGGAGUUUGUUGGCCAAACAAUAGAUUAGACACAAUAGCAGCUUGCUUAUAGGGGUUAGUUAGGCUAAUAGCUUCUUAAAUGAACAAGAACAGUGGAAGACUGGUUCAUUUUCUUAAACUGAACUCUUUUCAAUCGACACAAAAUAUGCUCUAAUCGCGUUACCGUAAGGGUUACUCUUUCACAGACAAUUUAACACUGAAGACAACAUCAUUAUAGUACUGUCUAAAUGCAUGUUCAGCCGAAUGAUUAACUUGUUGGAUGUUGGAAUUAUGUUCUUUUUAGGACAGAACCUUAUGACACAAUCCACUUAACAACAACAUCUCUUCAAACGCAAACAACAGCUUCCUGAUUCUUUCGAACUACAUACCAUACCACACAGUAACAAUUGCUCAAAGCUGAAACCUUUAUGAUCGCAUACACAAAAAAAAAAAAAAACAGUUUUCGAAACAAAGUGAUAAGCUUUCUAGAGUUGUCUCCCAGCAGCAUCAGCGACAAGGGGGAUAUAAGGCGUCUUUCCGACCAAACAGCUCACAACUCCAUAGACAAAACACAUGAAGCUAAACACAAACACACCCGUGUGUCCCCACAUCAUGGCCUUCAUCCCAAACCCACCUCCUCCAUGACCCGGAUCCAGUAUCCUCGUCAGCAAAACCGGAACCGCCAACAGCACAUCGAGCGUCACGGCCUGCAUCGCGUUGAACCUAACGUACCUGCUGAAACUCGUGUUCCUCACCACACCCAAGUAGAGCCCAAAGAAGGCCACGAAGCUCGCGCCGGGGACGGACCUGUAGAGGUUGAGCAGCGGGAAGAUGGGCUCCACGAGGAGGCCUAGCCUCGGGUACUGCGCGAAGAGGAAGCGUCCGUAUUGGAGCGAGUUGAAGAACGGUAAAGCGUAGGAUGCGAUUGAGAUCACGCGCUCGGUUGCUGGUGUUGGGGUGUAGGAAGCGCGCGUGGUUAAGGUGGAGGGGCGUCUGGUAGGGAAGGAGCGUGGUGUUGGUCUAGGAGCCGCCAAGGGUUUUAGGGUUUGGUGGAGAGAUAAGCACAUUGACGCCAUUUUCAGAAAAAUCUCUUCUUUUUUUUUAGAGAGAAACGAUGAAGAGAUGAAGCUUUUAACUGAAUCGAACCGAUCAAACCGAGUUCGAACCGGAGUUUAAUUAAACCAAAUACCGAAAUUGAAUAAUCUAAUUGAAAUGGUCUGCUUUUCUUCUUUUGGCAACUUAUCUGAUAUAUCUAUUAGGAUAUGUUUUUGGAUUUUCACAUCUAUCUUAUUAAAACUGAAGUACAAAAUGAGAUUGUUUGAAAACAUGUAUAUGAGUUUAAAAAAUAAGAGUGUUUGGUAAUAUGGAUUGUAGUCUUUUAAAAAAAUAUUACUUUUGUUUGGAAAUAAAGAUAGUAAUAUUUAACAAAAAAAGUAAUGGACUUAUCUUAUUAAGAAAAAUUGAAAGUCCAUCAUAUUAUAAGAAAUUAUCUAUUUGGAUCAGUUUUAAAAUGAGUCAAAUCAUUUAAACUUUUUUUUCAAAACUAACCAUAAAACAAAAUUUAAACUUUAUAUACAUAUUUCAAAUCAAAAUAAUAAUUCAAAAUUGAUUUACAUCAUAAAUUAAUUGAAAAAUAUACAUAUAUUCAAAAAUUAAUUUUUACUAAACUCUUUUUCAAUAACCAUUACUUUUGUUUGAAAACAAGGAUAGUAUUAUUAAGCAAAAAAGUAAUGGGUUUAUGUUAUUAAGAAAAAUUGAAAGUCCAUCAUAUUAUAAAAAACUAUCUAUUUGAGCCAGUUUUAAAAUGAGUCAAUCUAAUUGCCUAAAACUUUUUUUCUAAACUAACCAUAAAACAAAAUUUAAACUUUAUAUACAUAUUUCAAAUCAAAAUAAUAAUUCAAAAUUGAUUUAUAUCAUAAAUUGAUUGAAAAAUAUACAUAUAUUCAAAAAUGGAUUUUUACUAAACUAUUUUUCAAUACCCAUUAUAAAAAAUGUUGUCAACAUAUAUAUAAGAAAAAUACAAUACGAAGCCCAAUUUGAAAUACCAACUCAAAUUAUGGUUUUUAUAUUUCAUAUUAAGUUUUAAAAAUAUAAUAUAUGUAAUUAUUUAUAUGAUGGUAUAUAUAAAAUAUGAUUAAUUAUAUGAUGACAAUAUACGAUACAUAAUAAUGACUAGUAUUAUUAAGCAAAAAAGUAAUGGGUUUAUGUUAUUAAGAAAAAUUGAAAGUCCAUCAUAUUAUAAAAAACUAUCUAUUUGAGCCAGUUUUAAAAUGAGUCAAUCUAAUUGCCUAAAACUUUUUUUUUUAAACUAACCAUAAAACAAAAUUUAAACUUUAUAUACAUAUUUCAAAUCAAAAUAAUAAUUCAAAAUUGAUUUAUAUCAUAAAUUGAUUGAAAAAUAUACAUAUAUUCAAAAAUGGAUUUUUACUAAACUAUUUUUCAAUAACCAUUAUAAAAAAUGUUGUCAACAUAUAUAUAAGAAAAAUACAAUACGAAGCCCAAUUUGAAAUACCAACUCAAAUUAUGGUUUUUAUAUUUCAUAUUAAGUUUUAAAAAUAUAAUAUAUGUAAUUAUUUAUAUGAUGGUACAUAUAAAAUAUGAUUAAUUAUAUGAUGACAAUAUACGAUACAUAAUAAUGACUAGGGAUGGACUUUCGGUUAUCCAUACGAGUUUGGUUCUGAUCGAUUUGCAUUUCAGAUUUCCGGGGUCAAAGAUUUCAGCCCUAUUAGGAUGUUUCUAAAUUUUGGUUUGAGUGUGAUUCAGACCUUUGCGGGUUUGGUUCGAGUUUGGAUCCAUUUAAAUUAUUUUUAAAGGUUUAAAUCAUUAUAUAUUUUAAAUUUCUCAAAAUCUAUAAAUAAAAUAAUAUAUUUCCUAUAAAUUUAAAUAAGAUAUGUCAGAAUACCUAAGCUUAACAUAUCAAUUGGCAUUUAAAAUUUUUGGAUACAAAAUCAAUAAAUAUUUUAAGUAUUUUUGGUGAUUUGAGUAUACCUUAACUAUUUCAGAUAUUUACUUUUGACUAUCUAUAUAUAUUUUCAAGUAUUUAAACCAAUUUAAAAGUAUAAUUCUUGAUGUUUUAUAUACGUUAAAUCUAAAUAUAAUUAAAUAUAUAAGUAUCCGAAUACUUCGGUUCGGAUCAGAUUUGGAUCUCUAAAUAACAAAACUUUGAAUAAUUUGAAUAUUUAAUCAAUUUAUGUUCGGGUUUGGUACUAUAUUUUCGGAUCGGUAUCGGGUCUGUUCCUCGGAUUCAUUUUGCCAAACCCUAAUAAUUACAUGAAAAACAAAUAUCAACAUAUUUUUCAAAAUAUACAUCCGCGCAGGCGCGCAGAUUAAAUAUUAACAUAUUUUUCAAAAUAUUUUGCUAUCAAUUUUGGUUCGGGUUUGGUAUUACACUUUCAGAUCAAGAUCGGUUUCGUUCUUCAGAUUUUGAUUUUUUUCAAGCACUAAUAUUAACAUAAAAAACAAGUAGCAAAAUAUUUUUGAAAAAUACAUCCGCGCGGGUGCGCGGAUUAAAAUCUAGUUUUGAUUAAUGUUCAAGCAAUAGCUAGAUACUAAUUAGACAAUUUUUUAACAAAUUAUUAAUUAAUCGGAAGUUUAGACCAAUGUUAUAAAUGAUUAGACUAGUUUUUUUUUCAAAAAUCUAUCUGAACAAUUUCUUGAUUUAAAUUUGAUUUAUUGUUUAAACUGAUUUUAGAACACUAAAACUUAAUUUGAGUUUUUAAUCUUCAUUCACAUUUUCUAUAUAUUUGGCUUGAUUUUAUUAAUACUAAUUUAAAUUUAGAUAAAUUCAUAUUUUUUUUUUCAGAAUUUCAGAUAUAAAAAUAAUUUUUAAUUCAGUUAUUUUACGAAUAGAUCAAAAAAAAAAAGUAAAAGAAAACUUUAAUUAUUUUAAAAGUUUUGAAAAUUAUUUCUAACAUUAAUUUUAGUUGGGCAAUUGUCAAUAAUAGCACCUUUUGAAGUUUAUGUCUCAAAAAUAGCACUAGAAGGAGAAAGUCACAAAAAUGACAUUCAUUAAAGGAUAAAAUAUCCUCAAUACCCUUGGUUUAAAAUUAAAUAAACAAACAAAAAUAAAUAAAAAUAAAUAAGAUAAAAAUUAAAAAAAAUUAAAAAAAGAAUUUUUUUUUUAUAGUUUCAGAUUAUAUGUUUUCAGAUUCGAAAUUUUUAUAAAUAUUUUUUUGAAACUUUGUUUCAAAUUUUUUUUUUAUUUUUUUUUCAAAUUUUCUUUUUAUAAUUUAAAAAUACUUUUUAAAACUGUUUUUAAAAUUUUUAUUUUUUAUUUUAGUAUUUAUUUUUUAUAAAAUUUUAAACCCUAAUUCCAAAACCCCACCCCUUAACUCUAAACCCUAAGGUUUGGAUUAAUUAACCCAAGGGUAUAAGUGUAUAUUUACCUCUUUAAUGAAACCUAUUUUUGUAACUUUGAGCCUUGAGUGUUACUUUGGGAACAAAAACUUGGUUUAGUGUCAUUCUAUUCUUUUUCUCAUUUUAGUUUUUAUGCUUAUUUUUUAUAUCUACUAAAUUUUCAGAUUUUAUAUUUUCUAAGUAUCCGUUUGGAUUUAGAUUGCUUACAAAUAAUAUAUAAUAUUCGAAAUACAGUCUUAUAAAAUUCUCGUUCAACUAUUUUUAUAACUCGAUUUGGAUAUAAAUCAAGGUUUAUUGGUUCAAGUUUGGUUCAGAUCUCGGUUUAGGUACAAACAUUCAUUCUUAGUAAGGACAUUAGGAAAGAGUUUAAUUCUCUUUGAUCAAGAAAAAAGAAAAAAAAGAAAGAGUUUAAUUCUCUUCAUCACCAAGACACGAACUAUAACUAGAGAAGAAGAAGAAGAAGACUUUGAAGACACUCUGCCUCCUUCUCCCAAACUCUCUCAAAAUGGGUUGCGGUGGAACUCUGUUCUACCCACUUCUCAUUACCCUCUCCGUCGCUCUGAUCACAUACAACAUCCUCAUCUCCUCCAACGCUCCUCUCAAACAAGGCUUCCCCUCUUCCUCCUCCUACGAGGACCCGGUCAUCCAAUUGCCACGCGGCGGAUCCAGAAUCCGCGGCAACAACGACAAGAAGAUUAGGCUCUUCCACACGGCCGUUACAGCCUCUGACUCCGUCUACAACACGUGGCAAUGCAGAGUCAUGUACUACUGGUUCAAAAAGGCCAAAGCUUCCGCUGGACCCGGAUCCGAAAUGGGCGGGUUUACCCGGAUCUUGCAUAACGGUAAACCCGAUAAGUAUAUGGAUGAGAUUCCCACUUUCGUUGCUCAGCCUCUACCUUCUGGGAUGGAUCAGGUAAAUCAAAAUUUGAUUUUUUUUUUUUUGGUUCGGACAUUGAGUUAAGGUUUUGUUAUUCGGACAGGGUUAUGUAGUUUUAAACAGACCAUGGGCGUUUGUACAGUGGCUUCAACAAACAGACAUUAAAGAAGAGUAAGAUUGAUCCCUUUUCGCUUCCACACUUGUUUUUUUUGGUAAUAAAAGUAAUGAUUUUUUUUUUUAAUGUAAUGCAGUUAUGUUCUGAUGUCUGAGCCUGAUCAUGUCAUUGUGAAACCUAUACCGAACCUAGCUAAAGAAGGGUUCGGAGCUGCGUUUCCUUUCUUUUACAUCGAACCGAAGAAGUAUGAGAAGGUGUUGAGGAAGUAUUAUCCUGAAGAGAGAGGACCUGUGACUAACAUUGAUCCUAUAGGAAACUCUCCUGUCAUUGUCGGAAAGGUUUGUUUUUUUUUCUUGUCAUGAAGAGUUUGGGAUCAGGUUUUCAAAAGGGUGUCUCUUUAUGGUUUUUGUAGGAGGCUUUGAAGAAGAUUGCUCCUACUUGGAUGAAUGUUUCUUUGGCUAUGAAGAAGGAUCCUGAAGCUGAUAAGGCUUUUGGAUGGGUUCUUGAAAUGUACUAAUCUUUUGAAUAAAAAAACGAUUUUUUUGUUUUGUUUAGAGUGUUGUUUUAGUUUUUGACUAUAACUUUUGUUAUAUAGGUAUGCUUAUGCGGUUUCAUCUGCGUUGCAUGGUGUUAGAAAUGUUCUACACAAAGACUUCAUGAUUCAGGUAAUCCUAUUACACAUUUUUGAGUUUCAGGAUAGCGAAAUAGUUAUUGAAUGGACCUCAUAUUGUUGCUUGUUAGAUAGAUAAGAUGUUUAUUUUGAUGCAUUAACCAAAGAAACUUUGGUUUGGUUGUGUUUGUGGUAAUAAUAAAAUCAGCCUCCAUGGGAUAAAGAGGUUGGUGACAAGUACAUCAUACACUACACUUAUGGAUGUGACUAUGAUAUGAAGGUAAAGAUUUCAAAUUCUGAUUUGUCAUUUCCAAUUUUCUUUAAGGUGGAUUGUAAUUGAUGUUGUUGUGAUUUUCAGGGACACUUAACCUAUGGGAAGAAAGGGGAAUGGAGAUUUGACAAAAGAUCGUAUAUUAAGUCACCGCCACCAAAGAACCUUACAAUGCCACCACCUGGUGUUCCACAGAGUGUGGUAUGUUUACAUAUCCUGUCUUCAUUUUCUGAAAAUAUAUAGUAUAUGAUUAUCCUGUAACAUCUGUACAUAUGAUUACAAGACACAGUCUCCAAGUUUUCUUCAUUUAUGUAUUAUUGUUGGUAGGUAACAUUAGUGAAGAUGGUGAACGAAGCCACGGCAAACCUUCCAGACUGGGGAUCAUAGAGAGAGAUAUAAACAGUUUAACUUUUUUUUGGUCUUAAUCUUAUCUAUAUACGUUGUCGGUGUAGUUUGUAAAAUAUAUAGCUUUUCAAACAAACCGUUGUAUGGCAUUUUACAUUCUAAUUCUCUAACUACUAGGUUUGAAUGUCAUCGAGCAUCCAAGAUGAUACUGACAUACACUAGCCAAACACCAGCCAUUAUGUGCAUACUACAAAACAACCUAUUGAAAAUAACUGAACUUAUUAAGUUAAAAGAUAGUAGUGGCUCACAAGUAAGCGAGACCAAACCAUGCCACUAAUCCAAAACCUCAAAUCCAAGCCGGUGGCUGCAUCCAAGUCUGAUCUUGAUUCCCUUACUCAUAUAUUGGCUUGAGAAUAUAUUUAAAUAGAAAAUGGCCAUAAUGCAUGCAAUCUCUGUUAUGACGUCAGUAUGUGUCAUAAACGUUAUGAAUAAUGGAGGUGAUUAGUGUCUUUGUUAUAGCUAAUAAGACUGGACAACAUGGACAGCCUUAUCUUUAAUGGUGACUUGGUUGGUUUAUUCAACAAAUCUCAACCCAACUUUUGUCCUUUAACCCAACGGCUAAUCAUCACUUGCCAUGCCAGGCUGCCAGCCUUUGAUCUUUGUCUUCACCACUUUUUGUUUUGUCUUUACUUAUUAUCACUAAUUACACUAUAAUGGUGGUGAUUAGUUAAUUACUUAAUUACCAUUAACUAUUAGUUGCGCUCACCCGCUCUUUAUUAGUUACAAAAUAUAUAUAUUGAAAGAUGAGAAAAAAUGGAAUUGCUACUUUCACUUUUCAUAUAACAGCAAUCUUAGUGUAUUUAUAUUUUAUAAUGCGCCAGUAUUAUCAAUAUCAUAGACAUAAAUUAUCAAUAUCAAAAGAAGCAUAGAUAAAAAAAAGCAACCGUUUCACUCCCGCCUUCACAGCUGUCUUUAAUGAUUAGCCAGCUAGACCAAUGAUCCUCUCACAUCACUGUCACGGUAUUCUAAAUAACGGUCCAGUCCAUCCCUAACGGUCAAUUCGCCACGUGGAGUAAUCUCACUCGGUUUUGUAAAUAUAUAUAGAGCUGAUCGUUUACUUGCUAACCAAAACUCUCAAAGAUAACAACAACACUCUCUGUUUCUCAUGGCUACAGAUCAAGAAAACCUACUCUCAGAUGAUUACCAAGAAACGGCGGCGUUUUGCGGGUGUAGGUAUCUCUGUAACUUCUGGUGGAGAAGAAGAGGAGACGGUGGCUGGAGCGGUAACUUGCAGGAAGAGAAAGGAGAAAGUUGGUGGACCAGGAAACUGAAGGGGCCAAAAGAGAUUUCUGAGAAAAUUGCGGGGCCAAAGUGGAAAAACUUUAUAAGAAGUUUUAGCAAUGGGAGGAAGAAGAUGAAGAGAGAUGUGGACUUCACGUACGAUCUCAAAAACUACAGUCUUAAUUUUGACGACGGAGGCGGAGAAAAUUCUUCACCGGAGAGGUUUAUAGCUACUCCGGCUGUUGUAAAAGUUUGAUAUUUUUCUCAACUUUUUUGUAUUCUUUUUUUAAUUGAUCAUGUUAUAAAUGUUAAUACCAAACAUAUACAAAGAGGUUAUAAAAUCAUUAAACCCUUUAACAAAAAAAAAAGUUAUAAAAUCAUUUAGGCGUUACUUGUUGUUCAAUCGCCACUCCAAAUUAGAUAAUAGGCAUGUUCUUUUUCUUGACGCGUGCCGCAGCGUCAACUGCUAACAAACAGGAAGAAAAUUUUGUAAUUAAAGCCAUCGUUUUUUAAGUUUGUGAAGGUGCGGUUAUUUUACGGAAUGUUACCGGUGAUAUUAGUGACGCUGAAAAAAACAACGUUCAUCGGAAUUGCCUUCGUGGUCAAACGCGGAGGUUGCUGCCAUUUAUUCUCCAUAUCUUUAAGCCUCAAGAAAUUUAUAAUUAGGUAUUAUUUUGAACGCUUGACGCUGACGCUGCGAUUCUUUACCGAACAGGGCUUAUGUCUACUGUUUUCUACUUGUUAACCCUUUUCACACCAAACAAAGCUUUUCUACAUUUGUUAGAAGAUCAUUCAUAAUAUCCUUAAUUUUCUCGUGUCAGAAUAUGUAUAUUUAAUUAGAUCUGUGUAGAGAUUACAUGCAUAUUACAUGUUUGAGUUCUUGUCUAACUCGUUCCAUCAAGGAUCUCUCGCUCUCAGUAGGAACCAGAGGACCAAAACCAUAUAUAAACCCUCGUCAAGCAUAUUAAGGAAAGAGUAAGGAUAAAUUGUGUGGUUGUUUACAUACUGACCUACAACACUGUUACUGUUGUUUAUCAGUUUAUGUUUUCCAAUGGUAUUUUACAAAAUUUGCUCCCUCAAUAGCAAAGGUGAAUCUAUUUGUCAUGUUUUGUCCUAUACCAAAACCAUAUUUUCACCGAGAUGAUCAAAAGCGUAGGGCAAGGAGAAAAGAGAUAGAUCGAUUUAAGAUGUUGGGCUGUGUGUAAUAAUUAGUGGGCUAGACCCAUCUAUAUUGAUUUCGUCCUUGGCCCAUUCCACCAAUUCGCCAAACGCAUGAAAGUUUAGGGUACGAAUGGUGAUCAGGGAACGGCGAGGAAUAAUGCAUUCCCUAACGUUCCUGAAAAAAAUUACCAUUCACAAGGAAUAAUAAUUUCCUCUCAUUCCCUUUCAUUCCUUUUUUGUAGAGAAUUAAAGAACAAAAGUAUUCCUUGUUAAAAGUGAUAAGGAACGACCAUUCCUUUUCAUUCCUGCUAUUUUAUUCCCGAACAUUCUUUUUUAAUCUGUUCCUCUUGUUUCCCGAAUGGUCACCAAUCAAACCCUUAGUGUCUCUAGACUCUAGUUGAGGCUUGUUUUUUUUUCUUUCCAAUAGUUAAUGUUUUUCUCCUUUUCUCACUAGUUGAGGUUUUGGUCAGUCUGUAAGAGUAUAAAAACAUGUUAGAUUUCUUCUUAUCCUUAUAAACAGAGGUCUAAGUAGAUACACUGUGUCAAGUUACCGGUCUUAACUCUUAAGCACAGCAAGUUGAAAAUUCGCAUACAACCUUCAAUAUUAGUAGUUAAAAUGUAUAUGUCAUUCAAGUCUUGUAUCACUUAUUUACUAAUUAUUUGAAACUUCACGAAACUUAGAGCUUGGAGGUCGGUUGGGUUGUUUUGGUUCUCUAUGUCACCAGUGUCGGUCCAGAAAAAAAAAGUAAUAGAAGCUUGGUCUUCCGACCUCAAUUUGUAUAAGAAUUUAAUUAGCCACUGAAUCAUAAAAGUUCUAAGUAAUCCCUUCGUCAUUAUUAUUAAAUGAUAGUUUUUAAAAAAAUUUAAGAAUAAUGAGCCUUACUAAAUGAUUCUUAAUUUAUAUUUUGCAUCCAGCCUUAGUAUUUUCAGGGCCGGCACUCUGUCACAACUCACAAGCUAACUGGCAUCCUUAACACUAUAAGUUUAGUUCGCUAACUGGUUGGUCCUGUCCAAGAUCAUUCUGCGAUGAACAAAUUACUAUAGAUAUAAUAUUAUCUAAUAAGAAAAAUAUACUCAUUCAUGAUCAAUUUGCAUAUAUGAUUUCUUAUAUACAUUUAUAUAUAUAAUAUUUAUGUGUUAGAUAUUGAUAUACAUGUGCUGGUGCUGCGAUGCUGCUAUGGGGUGAGAGUGACGGGUGAAAAUAAAAUGGUAACAUGAAAACUGAAAGAACAACACUAUCUAACGAUAAAGUCAAAAGUUUCUUCUUCAUAUUCGACCAAUUAGAUAUUCAACAUGAUUCCAAAGAAAGGUUCAAAAGAAAAAAAAAACAUUGUUCCAAAGCACACAUCACAUGGCCUACUAAAUCCAAAUUUCUCUUCCAUAAAUAACAAUAAUAUUUCUAAUGAUUUUUUUAAUAAAAUAUAAAACCCUUUAGAAAAUGAAACAGAAUACUGUCUUACAACUGACCAAUGCAUACGAUUUAUUUUUGUUAAAAUAUUUUGGUUUUCGGAAGGACCCGAGAUUAUCAUAGCAAAAGCUAUAUAUAUGGUUAUAAGACCAUUUUCUAUAAGAAAAUCAGUAGUAAUUCCUUGAGAAAAAAAAUUACAACAAUAAAUUAUAUGGAACAUGCAAAUCAGAGUAAAUUCAAGUGUGAAGCAAAGAAAGGAUUAUAUAAAUAUAAAAAAAAAGGAUUAUAUAAAUGAACAAAAAGCACAUGGAAUUUUUUUUUCAAAAAAAAAAAAGCACAUGGGAACAAGCCAAGAGAUGGGUUUUGGAACAUCGAUAACAUUUACAGUAAAUUUAAAUGAUUUACCACGUCUCACAAGCAUUAUUAACUAAUGGUUGUAAAGUGUAAUCAAUGUUCAAAAACGUUUAAGUGCCAAAGAACCAGAUUAUUUUUGAAAAUUUAGCCUUUAAAAAUAUCCUACUAUAUAAAAGAAGCUAAAUCCUAGCUUUUCUAGAGGUGUCACAUGGGCAAAAUAAUCUCCACCUAUCAAACUGCUAUGUCACUAGUGGACUGGACUUCGAAUUAAAAUUGCAAUAAAAGAUUUGGGCUUCGUUGUCGCUAACAAAAAUCUCGGUUUGUCUACGAUUUGCCGAUGGGCCAGGUAAAGAAAAAUCUCGCAGCCCAGCCCAUUAACCCAAAUCGCCGUCUUCGUAAAACUAUUUCCUUCGGACAAUUACUUAUUUCAACUGUCAAACUAUUUUCUUUUGAAUUUUCUAUUUUUUCAGACAAUUUAUUAUUUCUACUGUUUUUUUUAACAAUGUGUGAACCGGCUAAGUUUCCUUUCAUCUUAAAAUUGUCCACCCAAGAUAACACAACCCCCUCAUUUCACACACAGUCACUAUAAAUUUCUAAAAAAAACCUAAAUUCUACUAUCAAACCCACCCAACAAAUUUAUAACUACCAGUUCCAAUUACUCAUGUUUCGACCUCAGUCAAAUAAUUAUGGGCCGGCCUACUUUAAUUUUUAAAUAACCUGUCAAUAAAAUCUCCACCUAUCAAACUGCCAUGUCACUAGUGGACUGGGCUUCGAAUUAAAAUUGCAAUAAAAGAUUUGGGCUUCGUUGUCGCUAACAAAAAUCUCGGUUUGUCUACGAUUUGCCGAUGGGCCAGGUAAAGAAAAAUCUCGCAGCCCAGCCCAUUAACCCAAAUCGCCGUCUUCGUAAAACUAUUUCCUUCGGACAAUUACUUAUUUCAACUGUCAAACUAUUUUCUUUUGAAUUUUCUAUUUUUUCAGACAAUUUAUUAUUUCUACUGUUUUUUUAACAAUGUGUGAACCGGCUAAGUUUCCUUUCAUCUUAAAAUUGUCCGCCCAAGAUAACACAACCCCCUCAUUUCACACACAGUCACUAUAAAUUUCUAAAAAAAACCUAAAUUCUACUAUCAAACCCACCCAACAAAUUUAUAACUACCAGUUCCAAUUACUCAUGCUUCGACCUCAGUCAAAUAAUUAUGGGCCGGCCUACUUUAAUUUUUAAAUAACUUGUCAAUAAUUUUUUUUUUUUUUAAAAACAAACCAUAACUAUGUUCACUUCAAAAAAUAUGAAAUUAAUAAAAGAUUGGCAAUACAAAAUAAUUCUCAUUCUUAUCUGUGCAGAACAUGCAGCAGAAGAUCAAAACAAUUGGGGCGACACCUUCGGACCGCAUCCAAUAAUCGUUAGGAUCAUUAGGAUGUGGUCCAUCACAAAUCACAAAAAUAAAAAUGCUUUCCUAGGAACAACUUUCAUUUGUCUUGACAUCUAAAUUUGUCUUAAAAAUACUUACUUUUAAUUAUUCCAACUACAUUUCAAAUGAUGGCUUUUAACCACUAAAAAGGAACAAAUAAUGAAAGGGAGGGUGUCUAUUUCUAUGUCUUACACAAUCUACCAACGCUUCGAAGAAGGGAAAAUUUAUCACAUUAGAUAUUUUAAUCUUCUUCCCAAUAACCAACGGUACAUGCUUACUGUUCAACCAUACAUAAUCAAUAUCAAUGAGACAACAAUUAUUACACUGAUUCAAGAAAACAUUCCACCGAUCCCUUCAUACAUAUUCCUGCCCCAACGUUACCACCAGUUGAUCAGCUUAGCAAAUGCAACCAACUUCCUCCCAGGUAAAAAAAAUCAAUAACUCUCUCACAUACAAAUAAAUACUAAAUUUUUGUCCAUAAAACCAAAUUAUUCCUACAGAUAUUGUUGGCCGCAUAUGCCUCAUCCAAGAAAAUGAUUUAUAUAACCACUACACAGAUUCAAAAAUCAUCAUUGGAUUGCGUUUAGAUAGGUACUAACUUUUUAUUAAAUAACAAUUAGUUUACAACCAAACAAAAUAUAAUACAAUAAUUAUUUGUAGAUCAAAAUUGGUACGUCUAACUUUAUGGGACAAGGAGGCGUCUAAUUUGUACCAGGAAAAACAAAUCGUAAUCAUCACAAGUAUCAUUCCACGGUUACAUGAAGGUAGUAAACUAAACAUAAAGUUUAUGUCAAAAUAAAUGCUUACAAAUAUUUGACUUUUUCAGGAAAACUAUCACUCACAACCACACCUGGAUCGCGCUUCUACUUUGACAACGAUAUUGGUAUCAUACAACACUUCCAAAAGAGGAAUAAACUACUAUCCUAAGCCUCAUAGCAAACGACACCGGCCAACUUUUAAGAAAUUUACGUUACCGCUUCCUACGUCCAUUAAAUAGGCACACUCAAAUACUAUUUUCUCUUACGAAUAUUGAAUUCCUCAAAACAAUUUAUUAUUCAAACUUACUGUUGUUUUAAAAAAAAAAAAAUUGAUCACCGUUUUCAACGUCUUCGCAUUAUAAAAUAAACAAAACAUAACUUAACUUUUCAGAAACUUCAAAACUCCCAAUUUUAAUUGAACUAGACUUUUAUUAAACAUGUAAUCCGCGCGAAGCGCGGACACUGACCCUAGUUCUUAUAAAAUUACAUUCAUGUCCACUUAUUGUAAAUUACAAUAUUUAUAAAAAAAGUUUCUGUGACUAGAAUUUAUAAGCAAUUUGUAUUAAUGUCUGUAGGAAAAAAAAUCUCAAAGGACGAGGAGAUAAAGAGGGAACAAAGAUCCCAUGGAGUGCGGUAAAUUGGAGUGACAAAAAGUCUGUGUCCUUUUGGACUCAAAUAUAACAUUCACUUGCUCUCACGUUGCUCCAAAACCGCGUCCAAUCCAUUUUUCUCCAACUUGACUUCUAACUCUCUUUUUUUUUUCUCUUCUAAUUCUUUUUCCCUCUUCUUUUUAUUUAGUUUACAAAAUGUAAUACAUAAAUUUGGAUCUGAGUAGAGACACAACAUACAACAUGUUAUGUAACUAUUUAAUUUCUAAUUUUAGGGUUUAUAGUUAUCUGACAUCAUAAAUAUACACAUUUGAAUCCAAGAAAAGACACAACAGCAUCACUUAACUAUAUGUCCUCUUAGUGUUAAGUUUAAAUCCAUUGAUUAGAGUUUAUAAUAUGAUUAGCCAUUUGUACUAAUGUUAACAUUGUAUUAUAAAUAAAUGUUAAAAUUCAGUUGUGUAUGUGUGCAUGUGUCAGAGUUCUAGAAAACAAACAAAGUUUUCCAACAAUUAGCAACAUUCAAACCAUAUUACUGAAAGAUUCAUUAAGAGACAUUAUUAUUUACAACUUGUGAUUUUAUGUUUAUCAUCUCCGCUAGAAUUGGAAAGGAGAGGACGAUAACAUAAUGCUGAGAAAAACAUAUACGAUGAUUUUUUUUUGUGAGAUUUUUUUUUCUUAUUCCGACAUAAUACACAAAUGGCAAACAGAGUUGAUACUAGUAUAUCCUUUUGUAAUUAUUUUUUUUUUUCAGUUUUCGAAAUAAAAAUUUGGAAAUUUUGUCAACAUAGAUUAGAUUCUCUUGUACUAAUAAGAACAUAAAAAUGUACAGAUAACUCCAAAAGAUACUGCAUGUGUGUAUGCAAGCUGAGGAACAACGCCUCUGAAACCUCCAAAGUCCAUGUUGAAUCACUUCAUCUAUUAUCAUAAAAUAAUAUAUGUAUAUAUAUAUAUGACUAUGUUUCUAUAUGCUUUAAAUUACAUAUGUUCUUUAGAAUAUUGGUUUUGUUGUGACCUUUUGUUGAGGAUUCAAUGGACCCUCCAUAUUUGCAUGUGACUGAGUGUGGAAUGGGACGAGAGAAUGGCGGUCACUGAUAUGGAUGUCACCUUACUAUGCCGCAUUUAUCUACUAAACUAAAUUAUUUAUAUAAAUAACCUGUUUGCAAAUUUUCUUCUUGCAAUUAAAAUUAGUAUUAAGUACGUUCUAACUUACAAUUAUUAUACUAUUAUAAAUCAUGAAAAUGUUAUCUAACACUUAAAUCAAUCCAAUACAUGCAUGUAUUUAUUACUCAUCUAAAAACUAUCUGAUGAUUCUUAUGCUAACAAAGUCCCAUUUCUAAAUAUGGAAAACCACUAUAUCUAAAUGCACGACCGGUUCUCUGAUUUUAGUGAACAAAUAAAUAAAAUGUAGAGGGGUUAUGCGCACAAAAAACGGGUUCAAAAUUUCAAAUUACCUCUUCUCUUUCAUCAUUUAGUAAAUAUAACAUACUUUGAAAGUAUCAUAUGUAUGGCCUUCGCCACUAAAGAGAUAUAGAGUGCACAUGUAUCCAUACCAUUUUUAAAAGUAUAUAUAUUUUUACCAAAUUUUAAUAUUUUCCUAUUGUAAUUUGUAAGUUUAUACUGUAUUAUAAUAUGUGCACCUAGUCAAAAAAAUUCUGGAUUCGCUUAUUACAGCUGAAUGCAGAAAAGGACAUGAAUCGCAAUCAACCCAUUUCAUCACCCAUGUUUAUACAUGUCGUAGUAGGUCCCAUGUCACGCGUUUACGUUCUAGGUCCACUUAUUUUAUUCAUAAUACUUGUCUGAUUUUCCCAUAACUGUAUGUAGUCCCAAGCAACCUAUUGUGUAUGUUGAACUUUCUCUUUUUUCUCCAAUAUCGACAAAACCAAAUUAAGAUAUGUAAUAUGAUUCACCAAACAAAUUAUGACCCUCUAUUCUAUAAAAACAAAAAACCAUACACAUUUAAUAAUGACAUGUAAAUCAUGUAAUUGUUGGUUCAUAAUUCAUAAUGUUUUGCUUAAUAAAAGGUUCAUAUGCCACGAAAACUUGCAUAUUUAAAUUAUCAAACAUGAAAUUUUAUAAAGAUCUAUUUACAUCAGGUAACUUUUGAAUUUGUUACCUAGAAUCUAUGUGAAGGAACCUUAUUUAAUCAUGAGUUUUUCAUGCCAUGCGAGAAAUAAAGUUUGAUUUUACGCUCUUUUCAGAAGUAUGGAGCUUUUACAAAGAUAGCCACACUACUCAAACGUUCCAAACACAGUAGCAAGGAGAAAAUUAGGAAUGCAACUUAUACAAAAACAGUAUUUGUUAGAUCUUCCCAUUCCCACUCCCACAUGCUUCAUUGUUUGAUCUACCUAUACAAUCAAACCACAUCUCACAUGAAGAAUCAGUUAGCAAACAAAAUUAUAUUAGAUCUAAUAAAAUUGUUUUGUGACUAGUUACAGCAGUUCUAAUGUUAUAGCUUCAAAGGUGAUUAACUACUUUCAAAGGUAACAUAUAUACCAACUAAUUAAUUAUUUCGGUUAAAAUUAUUAAUUACUAGGGUUAAAAUGAUUAAUUAUUUAUUAAUAAAAGUAAUUGACCUUAUAAUUAUAGUGGUUUUUCUUGAAGUCAUAAUUGCGGUCUAAACAAACAUUUUCCAUCAAUAAUGUUGGCACUUGUCAUUUCGAUGGAUCCAUUCUAACAGCAUACUCUUUUGCCCAACAUAUAUAUCUAUCACUUUUUAUUCCAAUUACUAUUGACUCUAAAAUGGAUACGUUGUCUAAAUUGGAAUAUAAGUUUUAAAACACUAGCGACUCAGCAUAUUAUAUAUAUAUAUAUAUAUACAUAUAUAUAUAUUGUAUUUUCUUAUUUGAUGAGCCAUCUAAUUUUGUUUUAUCUAUAGAACAAAAUAUAAAAUUGACCCAAAAACAUCCGUAUAUAGGAGAAUCCAUAGACGAAGUCUGAAUGUGACAUUCCCCUCUACAAAGAGUGUCAUUAUAUCGUAUAUAAUCAUAUUAUUAUUAUUAUUCCUUUUCCUCUUAGACUAUCAUCUAGUAAACUGUAUAGUCAGGAAUUAUGGGUAUGAUCAUAAAAAAUUAAUAAAAUAUAUAGCAUUCGAAGAUUGUUUUGGUGUUUGAUUGAGUCAUUAUCGGAGCCUCACAUGGGCGAAGAAUGAUGGUGAACGAGUCUCGCUAGUCAUCAAACUUCAUAUUUUCCAAUUAUUAUUAUUACUAGGUCCUUGUCCGCGCUACGCGCGGAUAGUAUUUUGUUUUUUUUUUCAUAUUUUUGUACUAUUAUGUCAAUUGUUUAGUUUUAUAAAAUGUUAUGUUUUUAUUGUAAAUUUGGAAUUAAAAAUCUAGUUUUUCCUUACUGUAAAGUAAGUUAAUUUUUUUGAAUCUUACCACAACACAUUAUACAUAAAGAGAAUAUAGUUGGUCUUUAUAUUCUUAUUUGGUGUAAUAUUGAAAAUUUUGAUGGUUUUUUUAAAUUAUAUAUAUUAGGAUUGAUUUUCGUGACUAUAUUCUAUAAUUGUCUAAAAAAAUUGUUUGUCCUAUAUAGACAUCCACAUAAAUAUGGACUUCUGAUAAAUUUGUUCAUUGAGAUAUUUAGUUUCACUUUUAACUUUAUUCUCUUUUUUGACAUCCUCAUGCUAGCUUGUGGGGCUAGCCAACUUGGUGCAAAAGGGUUUACAAAAGCUGAUUGAGAUGCGCGUGAUCGGACACCUUUUGCUAGGCUAUUCAUACGGAAUUUUAAAGCUCUAGGAAUAUAAGCAAUAGAAAGUUCAGAAAAUUCUUUAGAUACAGCCUGUAUUUCGUUGAGCUCCGAGUCCAACACAGGCCAAUCUUUCUCCUUUUGAAUAAGCAUAACCAGUUGUUCACAGUCGAUUGAAAGACCAUCUCUCUGUGUCUAAACUUCAGUAUCACUUGCAUUGCCCAUAGCAAACCUUCAACUUCCGCUUACAGUGGUGAUUUGGUGCGUGUAUAUCGGUCCUUACUCCAAACAGCAUUGGAAAGUCACCAUCCAUUAACACAAAGCCAAGUCAAGAUAUGUCUCUUUCAUUUAUCCAGGAUGUCUAGCAGGAGCGUUUCUUUGCGAAAGAACAGUUGUGUCCGUUACCUCAACUCCCAUGUCAAUCUCCAUAAUCUUGUCUACACGUUGAGUUAUCCUCCAACACUAUGCUUCAAUUUUAUUCGCUAAUGGGAAAAACAUAAUUCCUACGACACUAUUAAUGAUUAUUUUUUUGUUAGACCGAUACGGCAAACUUAUGUUUUAUUUAACAAAACUCUUAUUUUAAUUUUGUAUUAAAGAAUCAAUUAUAUUUUAUAUUAUCCAUAAUUUUAGUAAAUUUACUUAUUUGUCAUGUUUUUAUUAGGUUUUCGCUAAAUCACUAAUUUAUUAUUUAUUUUUAGCUAAGUCACUAAUUUAUUAAUUUAAAAAUACCCUUAAUUAAUAUUAUAUAUAUAUAUAUUAAAAAUGAAUUUUUUAUUAGUAAUAUUAAAUUUCUAUUUUAUAUUAAAAUUUAGUUAGUUAUUCUUAUUUGUCAUAUUUUAUUAGGUUUUAGACUUUUAGAUAGGUUAUUGAUUUAUUAUUAAUUUCUAACUGAUUCGCUAAUGUGUUAAUUAAAAGAAUACCCUUAAUGAAUUUUAUAUAUAAUUAAAAACGAAUUUUAUUUUAAUCAUAUAAAAUUUAUAUGUUAUAUUAAUAUUAAAUAAAUGAUUUUAAAAUAAUAUAAUAAAAUUAUCAAAAAAAUUUAAAAUAAGAUAAUUCUUAUUUAUAUUUUGUAGCUAUCUGAAAACAAUAAUUUUAUUAUAAAAGUUAAAAAGAUACAAAAAAUUAUAAUUAAAUAUUAUUCAAGAAAAAAACAUUUAUAUAAAGAUAUUUUCUAAACUAUUUCUAAGAUAUGAGUGUUUUAAAAAAUUUAACACGGGAUGUUUAGAACACAGGAUUAUGCUUAUGAGAGAGUGGCUCGGGAAUGGGCUUCGAGAUGGGUCGUCAUGAGAGAAAGGUAAAUGGGGGAGACGGCGAUUAGGUUAUUCAGAGGAUGAGAAAGCUGUGUGCGCUUUGGCUUGAGUCUCAACAAUACGUAGAUUAGGGUUAAUGGACUGGGCUGGGAUAAAGUGAAUUAUCAGAUUGAUGGGAUUAAUGGGCUGGGCUGGGUGAAAGUGAAUUAUCUGAGUUUGGCUUCACUUCGGCUGAUGGCGCAAAACAAAAAUACGGAGUCGGAGAAUGAGUUAGCGCACAGGAAGCCCGAUCGUGAUUUUAAUUUGAAGCCUAAUCUGGCAGUGACGUGGCAAUUUGAUUGGCCCUGAUUAUUUUGAGCAUGUGGCUAGCUUUAGGAAGCUUAAAAAUAGUCCCUUUUAUAUAGUGGGAAAUCAUAUAAAAUUUUUAUGUUAUAUUAAUAUUAAAUAAAUGAUUUUAAAAUAAUAUAAUAAAUUAUCCAAAAAUUUUAAAAUAAGAUAAUUCUUAUUUAUAUUUUGUAGCUAUCUGAAAACAAUAAUUUUAUUAUAAAAGUUAAAAAGAUACAAAAAAUUAUAAUUAAAUAUUAUUCAAGAAAAAAACAUUUAUAUAAAGAUAUUUUCUAAACUAUUUCUAAGAUAUGAGUGUUUUAAAAAAUUUAACACGGGAUGUUUAGAACACGGGAUUAUGCUUAUGAGAGAGUGGCUCGGGAAUGGGCUUCGAGAUGGGUCGUCAUGAGAGAAAGGUAAAUGGGGGAGACGGCGAUUAGGUUAUUCAGAGGAUGAGAAAGCUGUGUGCGCUUUGGCUUGAGUCUCAACAAUACGUAGAUUAGGGUUAAUGGGCUGGGCUGGGAUAAAGUGAAUUAUCAGAUUGAUGGGAUUAAUGGGCUGGGCUGGGUGAAAGUGAAUUAUCUGAGUUUGGCUUCACUUCGGCUGAUGGCGCAAAACAAAAAUACGGAGUCGGAGAAUGAGUUAGCGCACAGGAAGCCCGAUCGUGAUUUUAAUUUGAAGCCUAAUCUGGCAGUGACGUGGCAAUUUGAUUGGCCCUGAUUAUUUUGAGCAUGUGGCUAGCUUUAGGAAGCUUAAAAAUAGUCCCUUUUAUAUAGUGGGAUUUGUUAGUUGGGGAAAAUCUAAAAUUACUUGGCAUUAUCUAGAUACACAUACAUGUUGUGAUGAUCAAUCAGACCCAUGUGAAAAUGGAUACAGUGGGUUUGAAGUUUCACCCCAGCCAAAAUGUCUUUUGAUCCAACUUGUUCACCAUUGGAAAGAUAAAGGAAACCUACACAUUUUUUUUGUAACAAAAGGGACCUAUACAUAUAUCAGCGAAAUUAUUAGUCUAAAAGAAAAUAGAAUUUUAGAAUCUGAAUCGUUUUCUUAUGAAACUAGUCCUGUAAGUAACCAAAAUCAUGUACAUAAGUUUUGAUAAAUUUGUUUGUGGAUAAGUCUUAUUCUCUCUUGAAUGAAAUUACAAUUGAUACUUUCCAAAAACUAUUCUCCUGCAUUCAGCUUAAACAUGUGGUGUCUAAGCUUUUAAUAUUCACUAAAUCUCUAAAAUAUGUGGGACUACUAGAUAAUACAUUUGCCCAUGUCUUGGCAAUUUCGAAUACAACAAAUGAGUCAAACAUAAAAUCCAAAGAAAUUUUCUGGGUCUUAUUGGUAACGGUGUGGGUCCCUUUAGGACCAAAUUGAUUGCCAGUUAAUUUGUAAAAUAAAUUUGUUACACAACAAAACACAUCUCUCAUGAAGCCAACAGUACUUAUAGCCACCCUUCACUCUUCCAAAACGCUCCUUCACUUCUAUCAUCACUUUCCUCCUUUACAUUCCCCACAAACACUUUGAUAGACUCACCUGAACCCCAGUAUUCUAAUGGCACGACCACAACAACGGUUCCGAGGCGUGAGACAGAGACAUUGGGGCUCUUGGGUCUCUGAAAUUCGCCACCCUCUCUUGUAAGUCUUUUACCAUAAUACCCGUGUUUUCAUUUUUUUAAUAUCAAGAAGUUAUGCUGAUUCUUGUUUUUUUUAUUUUGUUUCAGGAAAACAAGAAUCUGGCUCGGGACUUUUGAGACUGCGGAGGAUGCGGCAAGAGCCUACGACGAGGCAGCUAGGCUAAUGUGUGGCAAUAGAGCUCGUACCAACUUCCCUUACAACCCAAACGCCAUUCCUUCUUCCUCUUCUAAGCUACUCUCCGCCACUCUCACCGCUAAACUCCACAAAUGCUACAUGGCUUCUCUUCAGCUGACCAAACGGACGCAAACGCAGACGCAAACACAAAUGCAGAACGCUAGAUAUGACGGCGUCAUGAAUGUGACCUCUGACGGUAAUCAGUACAACAGAGGAGGAGUAACGGAGAUCAAGUGGGAAGACGGAGACGUGGAUAUGCAACAUAAUCUCAGGCCACUGGAGGAAGAUGAUAUCGAGCAAAUGAUCGAGGAGCUGCUUCACUACGGUUCCAUUGAGCUCCGCUCUGUUUUACCUACUCAGUCGCUGUGAUAAACGGCUUUAUUAGGGUCAUUCUAUUAAUUUUUAUUUUAUUACAUUUUCCUUCAACGGCGUCGUUAUGAGAGUAGCAGUGACAGUUCAAGACAUUUUGAUCUGAAUUGGCCUCUUUUGAAACGCUCAUUCUUGUUUCUACAAGAGCAAUCGAUCAUAUGCUAUGUAAUGUAUAGUAUUUUUAUGAUAUGAAAACGUUAUCAAUUUUUUUGCAUCAGAUUCUCCAUGUAAACCAAUUGAGAAAAAAAAAACAGAAAUCAUGAGAAUUAUGUUUUGAGUUCGUGUGUGAAUAAGUGGGGAUUUUAUGUAGUGAAAAAGAUGCAACAUUUGGAUGAAAUAUAUCAUAAGAAGAGAGUUUGGAAGGGUUUGAUUCUUUUUUUAGUUUGCUGUUUUUCAUGCAUGUUUUCAUUUUUCAACGGUGGGACUUAUUUUUCUUUCCUUUAAAAAUUCUAUUUCUCACUCUUUUGAUUUUUUUUUCUUUUAAAUUUGGGAUUGCUGCCAAGUAGAAAAGAGUGUCCCUAACACCACCAUCAAAAAUCUAACUUUUAAAUUAGAGAGAUUUGUAUGUUUCUAGCACUUUUACGUUGGUCAGCCAUACGACUAAUCAAAAGCAAUAGAAACCUGACCUAAAAGAACAUAUUCGACUCAAAACCAAAAUUAAAACCAGACCUUUGGACUGACACAAAGAGUCGGCUCCAGGGAUUUUGGGAGUAUGUGACUGUUUCUAUGUAAUUUUUUUUUUUUUGCAAAUUUGAAAAUCUAAAAUUUUUUGUAAAGCUUAUUUAUAUGUAAUUUUUUUCAAAAAAUUUAGGGAUUUAUUGCAAAUGUUUUAUCUAACAUGGCCUAGAACCGGCCCUGUCGACACAUCUUAAAUUAAACUAUGUUCUUUGAUUUGUGACAUAAGGGUUUUGUUGUUUAAUCAACGUUUUGAAAUAUUUUGUUUGGUUUAACACAAAUAAAGUUAUUUUCUUCUUGCUGAUUUUUAAAAUGUGCAACCGCAAUCACUCUCUAUACAUAACGUUUGACGGAUACGGUGAAACAAUUAUAACCACACUACUACACCAUAUCUUCUAAACAAUUUAAUACUGCAAGUCUGCAUCACAGUAAAAGAUUAAUUGCAACGCAGUUACUAUAAUUCGGUAGCAUCUCCACUCCGAUCGAUCGUUUCUUCUUGCAAGCAUGUACACGUUUUUAUCAGUUGUUAGGAACAUAUAUAAUUGAAUUUAAGUGAAUGAUAAUUCAGUAUGGUUAGUUGGCCCGUUACGACAUAAUUAUAAACCAGUAAACAUGCAAUGCAUCUAAAUUGCAGCACAUAAAUGAUUUGACGUUCGGAAUUAUAUGGAUGCAAAAAGAUUUCUUGUCCCCUUUAUUUGCAUGCUGUAGAUAUUAAACUAUAAAUCUAUAUCAUUCUGAAAAUAGAUAGAAGUAAAUUACGCAAGCUAUGCAUAUACAAUAUCGUAUAACUUAUGAUGAUGAUGAUAUAAAUAAUCAGGGUAAACUAUGAUUUGAACAGCUUUUGGCUUUGAUUUGAUGAGACUUUCUUAUCAUCUUUGGUAUGCUGCUGAUCAUUUUUACAAUAAAUAACACUCCUUUGAUUUGUAAAUAAAUUUACCAUUAUACCACAUAAUUGUAUGUUUAUCUAACUAAGAAAACUGAUGGAAGAUUUUUAAAAAGUCUUCGAAGAUGUGACAAAAGCCUAUAGUUUAUAAGGUUGACAAAAGGGACAUAAACGCUAUAAUAACUCAAUUUUAACUUAUAAGCUCAUAUAAAUUCUACAAUGGUUUGUCAAAAGCAAUUAUAAGACUUCUUUAAAAUCUAAUGAGAUGUUCCAAAUUAUUUUGCUCGGAGUUCUGUACAGUAGGCUAGCAACCGAUUUCAAUUGAUUUGGUAACAACUAAAAUACUGCCUACGUGACAAUUAUUUAGCCACUAUAUAUACUCUCAUAGAUCCACUAACAAAGAUAAAAAGAAGAAAAUAACCAUGUUAUAUGUGACAAAAUUUGUCAAACAAUAGUACUGAGAUAGAUUAGUUUCUCAACGUGAUGCUAUUGUUUUUUGGAUCGAGGUCUUUAUCGAAUGGAACUUAUAAUGAUUAUAACACCUGUUUGGAAAUUGAUUUUGUUUCCCCCACAACCUUUUGAGAAAGGUAAAUUAAUUAAUAAAUAAAUAAUGAAAAAAAUAGGAGGGAAUUACAAAAGUGUAGUUUAUUCCAAUUAUUAUGUUUUGUUAAAGCAUUUUAUAGCAGUAAAGGUGAGAUUUAAAAUAAUGGGCAUGCUUGUGAGUUGAUCAUCAUUACUUCUUUGAACUUCUGUGACCCUUUUUCCUUUGAGGAAUGUCCUUUUCUAUUGUCCCAAUAAAAAUUUCACUGCACUCACCAAAUAAAGAAUGAAUAGGUAUUCAUAUUCAUAUGAAAAUGUGUUUUUUUCCAUUCUUGUUAUAUGAUACUAGUUAUAUGUCGUCUCGUACUAGUGCAUGGAAAUGUAUUUCGUUCACCCAAAUUUAAACAGAAGUAUUGCAUACAAGACCGAUCCUGGCCAUAACAAUUCAAAACAUUCGUUUCAGCCCCUAAAAUGCAAACUAACAUGUAUCACUUGACCCUCCAAAUUAGUUAAGAAAACUAUAAACAUAGAUUAUUUAAGGGGUAUUUCAAGUCCUAUAAAUCUAAGGCCGGUUCUGUAAUAUACUAAUAUGUAUGGAUUCUAGUAUCGUCCUUAUUACUAAAACAUUGUUAUUAUUAGAACAAACCCGGUUGGACAUGAAGAUAUUAUCAAGUUGAUUAUCUACCUAAUAUUGUAAAAUCUUCACAAAACCAUUUUGUAUCCUUUCAUAGACCACAUGGCAAUCAUUCUCAGUGAGUGUUUCAGUGGAGGUGAAACAUUAUGUAAGGCUGAUUGGUUAUCACAGAGAAGAGUGGAUGCAGUUGAUGGAGGACGAUGAAGAUCAUGAAGUACAAAGAUGUCAGCCAAACUAACUCACAUGUAGUAUCAGCCAUAGUGCGAUAUUCUACUUCUGAACUGCUACGACAUUAUUAGUUGUUUCCUGAAAAAUCAAGAGAUGAGUGAAUCACCAAGAAACACACAAUAUCCGUACCAAAUUUUAGCAAAAAAAAAACACACAAUAUCCGGUAGUAGAAAAACGAGAAUCCGGAUAAGCAACCCAGUUUAGAUCAGAGAAAGCAGUAAGAUGGAGAUAAGGUGAAGUAGAGUAAAAUAAACCUUCGCAUGGAUCAUUCUUCAGAUAUAAUCUUAUUAGCUGAACAGUGUGUGGAGCAAACAUGUAUUGACGCAAACUAUGCACAUCAUAAUUAAGUGAUAUCAAGUUGGGUAUGCGUCAAAUACAAAAGUCUGCGAUACCCGUGAACACCGAAGAAUCCUCAAGUGGAACACAAUCAUCAGAAGAUAUCUUGAGAUUAAGUUCCAUAGGUACUAAAAGAGGCUUGCAGCCUAGUAAACCAUCAUCCAAGAAGUUCUAAAGUAUAUUUCCCAAUACCAAUGUUGUUGCGUGUAUUCUCAAACCCAAAAAAAAAAAGUAAUUUGCUGGACCAAUGUCUCAAAGUUUAAAUGCAGAUUUGAGAUUGGACUUGAACUCGUUAAUAGCAGAAUUGUCAUUUCCUACUAGCAAUAUUACUUGAGAUAUUUGAUAGAAACAAGAGAGAUUAUUAAGUUUAGACAUGUUUAGUUGAUUAUAUGAUCUUUGUAAACAUUGAAAACAAGUCUCUGGGCCUUGGGGCCCAACUCAAAGAGGCUACUUUCUCCCACAUUCCCGGCCCACUUCCCUUGCCGUUUAGUUUUUUUUUUUCCGCUGGUGGGCGUCUUAUUUAAGUAGCCAAAUGAUUUGAUCAGUGAAACUGAUUCUACUUAUUUUGGUUAUGUGUAGGGCAAGUGUGAGUGAGAUUGCAUCAAAGAAAGAUUUGGGGCCAAAACGAUAACAAACAAGAAGAUGAUUUUCGAAUGGCUUGUCAGGUUUUGUUACAUUACAUGUUUUGGAUGUGCGAUCGUCCACUUGUGCUCUUCUUGGAUUUAUCCAUGGAACUGUAUGAGUUUGGUUCGUUCUGACUAUAUAUAUUUGUUUCUUUAUCUCUGUGAAUACAAACAAGCAUAUCUUCUUCCUGCCACUAAAUUGUUUACUAGUGGUGGAAAAAGACAUGAUUAGAGACUUACUUGAUUCAAUUAUCUUCGACCAAUUUUAGAAAAAACACGUGAAGUCGUUGGUGAUGAAAGCAAUAUGUGUCGUUUUUUUUUGGUAAUGCUUUCUGAACAUAUGAAAUAUGAGAUGGCCUUUUAUUAAGUUAUCCAUGCUUAAGAAAACCCACGAAGAUAAUCCAAUCUAUUGGUGCCGUUCUUUAUAUUACAUGCAAUUUCAGGAAAAUACACAAUGUUGGAGUCAGUACUUAAGCAUUACACUUGCCUCUUUUAAAAUGUAUAGUUCUUUCACCCCUUUAGAUAGUCGCUUGCUUUUGCUAAUGUGUCACCUUUUAUGCAAAAUUAAUUUGCUUGUGUGUCUGUGUGUGUGUGGCGUGCACGGACUCGUUUAGUAAUUAUCCUCGAGGGCCAAAAAAAGAAAGGUCAUUCGUUGUCAUAGUUUACACCACUUUGGGGUCUAACAAAGAGAAGCAUUGGAUGCUUUAGUGAUAAUAUGUUUCAGUUCAUUCAAAAAAAAAGUUUCAGUUUUCUUCUAUAGUACUCUUUGCUUUUAGUGUCACAAUCAUCCUACGCAGCAACUAUCUUCUUUUUAUUACAUAUGUUUGGUUCUGUUCGAGUGUCUUCGUAGCAACUUUUAAGUAAAUAGAAUGAUUGUUCUAACUUUUAGGUAAACCAACUUUGACAUUAUAAUAUUAUUUCCUUUUUCUUGUCAAAUAGAACCAAAUCUUCCCUCAGAUCUCAAUGUCUUCUAUUUUCCUUUACUCUAUACACAUUUCUUUUCCAAUUCUAGGAAUUAGAUUAAAUAUGCAGCAUAUGCUUUACACUGUUGCUGUGUGUCUACAUGAAAUCCACUAUGUAUGUAUAGUCGAAAAAUCCAAGACUAAGUAGAUACGUGAAAAGAUGUACAUUAGAUAUUUUUAUUAGACAGGAACAUAUACACAUAAGAGUGUUAAUUGAUAACAAUCAAUGAAAACACAUUAAAAGAUACUACUAAAUGCAAGAAUCAAGAAAAAGACAUUUAAAGCUUGAGGGAUAAGUCAAGAUUCUGUUUCUCUUCCUGAAUUGUGCUAAACAACCCUUCGUCUCCUUGCCAUUGUUCAAGAGUCAGUGACCCUACUAGAUUCCUUCCUAUGUUGCUCGAUGAUCUAGCCAUGUUAUUGGACCGUGUAGUUACUGAAGGAUCCAUCAUCAUCAUCAUCUGAUGAUGAUGCUGAUGAUGAUUAUGAAAAUGAUCCACUGAAGAAAGUUUACCUAUUGCUGGUUGUUGAUCAAGUGGUAGUCUUGACCAGUUGAUAUGACCAUAAUGAUCACCAAACCCGUUAUAUGAACUUAUAUUGUGGCUCAUCGAGUGCGCUUGAAUUUCCAAAGACCUGUUAUUGUAUUGUCCAUGGAAAGAAACUGGAGAGAAACCGUAAGGAUGUCCAAAAGCCGAAGCUGAUGCUCCCAUUCGUUGCGCUCUCUUUGCCAACGUCCUCUCUCUCUUGUGUGCGUUUUGGUGACCACCAAGUGCUUGUGAGCUAUAGAAAGAUCUUUGACAGUAGUUGCAUGAGAAUAGUUUGUGUUCCGUGGGUGUAAUCGACCCGUUAUAACUCUGGUUAACAUCGAUACUCGUGUCUAUGCAGUCGAGGAGAUUGAGUUCUUGAGUAGAAUCGUUAACGUCUGCUUCUUCAUCCUUAAAACUCUGUUCUUGCCUCUGGUUUAGAGAAUCUUGACAUGGAAAAGCUGUGGAGGAAGCCAUGCAAGAGGGAUCUGAAGGCAGUUGCUUCUCCCUAGAAAUGUUCAUGAGGGCUAAAAAGAGAACAUAUUAUUUUUUCUUUUCCAAGUGAUGAUUUCUUCCCUCUCUCUCUUUCUAUUAUUAAUAGCUAUGAAAGAAGCUUUUAUCUGUAAACAGAAGCAGAAGUAGAUGGUAUUAGAAAGGAAUAGACAAAGAAAAUAAUGCCCUAAUAGUAAAACAUUUUCUUAGAUAUUUUUGUAAUAACAAGUAUUGGACCAAAGUACUAUGGAGAUGAGAGCGAUAGGUCGGUUUGGUUUGCUAUCACACACUUUUCACAAAACACUUAAAAGCUAAGCUUAUUGGAACUCCACCAUCUACAUUUAUACCUUAUAUAUAUACGUUAAUAACCCAACCAGGUCAUCAGGUUAGGGCAACCCCUUUAGUCCUUGGCCAUGAUCAAUAAGUUGAAACUGGUAAGUUGGUGUAUGUGCAGUAUUUUCUUUAAGUGGAUUACAAACGACAACUGAAAAAAUGAAGCAGUACUGAAAACAGUUAUGAAGCUAGUACAUCUGAUGAAAUGACAGGAGAGGAAAAUGACAAUAAAUUUUAAAGGAUUGAUGUCCAAAAGAAAAUAUAUAUGUACUGGAAAUGGACCAUCUAAAUUAUUUUCAGGUCAGUUUAUGAAUACUUUAUGUAACUCCACGUGGUAAGUGGCCACUUCUGUCCCCUCUAGCUUCUCUUGUUGGUCUUUCCUUCAAUCGUUUUUUCUUCUGUUCUUUUAUACUCUCUAUUAAGAGGCCAGACCGUAGAUCAAACUGGAUAUAGCGUUAUUCGGAUUUAGUUAAGCAAGUGUAUGCCCCUCACCCUGGAUAUAGCGUUAUUCGGAUUACAGAGUAUAUAGCGUUAUUCGGAUUUAGUUAAGCAAGUGUAUGCCCCUCACCCUGGAUAUUUUGCUAUCAUUACUUUUUGACAUUUUAUAAUUAGUUGUGUUUAGUAAAAAAUCAUCCAGGGAGAUCUACACCAAUAUACUAUAUAUUAUCUUGUAAACCACUCACAAAUAACAUGGGUGAUAAUCGGUUUGAAAAUCUCUUUAUUUGAUUAAUGAUAAUCUUGGGCAGAUCUGUUUCAAUAUUAUGUAUCUUAGUGAGAUACUUUAACUAGAACUAUAUGACUUAUAAAGAAUAACUUAUCUUUUGUCCAAAAAAGAAAAAGAAUUAACUUAUCUUUAUGAGAGAGAUCAACCUUUUGUUUGUGUGAGACGUUAAAGGAAAAAAAAAUAUUUAUGAAACUUCCACGCUCUUCUUUCUUUAUCGUCUAAAGAGUGUAGAUCAUUCGUCAAUACAAAGUUUGGUUUCCCACUUAUUUCAUCAUGAAAUACAACUAGGUUGCAUGGAGAAAGUCGCUUUAUUCCACCAAUCAGAACUUCUCUUUUGGACACCACGUCAGCAAUAUAAAACCCACUUGGGCACUGAGCAAAGGUUUUUUUAUUAUUAUUUCAGCAUCUUCGACUGGGGGUUUAUGUUAUAGCACACCACUUAACAUAUCCAAAUCUUUAGCUUAAACUUAUUUACCAAAGGAUGUACUUUAGCUUGCAAAUUGUAAUGAAUAUGGAAAUAUCUAAUGGUUAGAUUGUGUAAUUGUCGUUUGCCAUCUGCGACCAUACUUGGUGGGUCCAACGUUACUAAUGAGUAAUGGCCGACACAGAAAUGGUAAAAGCUGAUUCAGAGUUUUCAAUUGCAAAUUCUUUUCAAAUUCACUAGUUUUGCUUAUACUUAUAAUGCAUACAUGGUGGGGACGUUAUAUUCUAAGUUACUAAUAUAUCUCUAACUCUCCGUUAAAGGAGUCCCUAGUUUGCUUGUCACAGCAAUAUAAUGAUCUGAUUUUUGGAGUGGCAAGUAAUGUGAGUUAGAGAAAGCUUAUUAUAGUUGCCCAGUGACUAGACUUUAUGCAGACUGUGACAGACUAGAUAUGCAUCAUGUAUGUUUCUGAAAGAAAAUAAAAAGGUUAAUGAGAAAUCGGAGUGGGGAAGAUGAUGUUAAGAUAUGUAGAAACACAUCCCCAACAUGCAAUUAUACAAAGAAUACAAAUGUCUAAUCAUUUUUUUUACACAUGUCUAAUCAUAUAUUAACCAGAUCUACUGUUGGUGUCUUCAUCCAAAACUUGAGUUAAUGUCUUUCAAAAGGUUUUUUUUUUUUUUUUUUGGAAAAUCCUACAAACCAAACAUGCUCCAAGUGAUUUCCGGAUUGGUUACAUAGUAGUUUACUAAGAGAAUCUCAACAUCUUUGGAAUUUAGAAAUGACAAGCCAAGGCCAUAAACAAGUAAACCUUUUGGAGAUAAUGAUAAGAGUAUCAAGAGAACUGACUAUUCUACACCUGAUUUCUUCUGAUCUACAACAGCUUGCAAGAAUGUAAAAAGGAGCAAAUCUCAGAUACCAUUUGGUUUUAUAUCAGCUUGCGGGUUUUGAGAGCGCUCCUGCAGCAAACAGCAGAUUUCUCCGAGAAAACUGUACCAAUGUAAACACACACACACAAAAAAAGAGUUUUAGCAUAUGCUUGAUCAGAGAACUUUGUAAUGCUAUUAAGGAAAGGUCCUAUAUGACGAAUCAAAUUAUUUAGCACACGCCCUCAAACUUUGGUUCUAAUCAAGUUAAUGGUUUGAUUUAUUUACAAGAACAAGAUGAUACACUUCGCAGAGAAUCCAGAGUUAAAACUAAUUCUUGUAAAGAGAGUAUAACUUACUCUGAGAGCGUGAACUGGUGUGGACUUCGUGGGGAAAGUCCUGAGUGAGCGCAGUCUGUUUGUGUUUCCAUUUCUGAUCAACAACAUGAUAAAAUCAUUAUAAUAAAACAAACUACGAUUCAAAGAGAACAAUGUUAUACACCUUUAGAACGGAGUAAACUCACUUUUCCUCGGCCUUGGUCAAUUUGGUGCUUGAAGUGACGUCCCACAGUUUCACUGUGCAGUCCGCAGAUCCAGAAGCCAGAAGAGACCCCUCGCCGCUGUAACAGAAAAAAAAACAGGUUCUUGGAUCAUUGGAAGUGCAGUUUGCGGGUUCACUAUGCCAACCAAGCCCAGCGACCCUAUAUCAUCACUCUCCACAACCUAUAACGAGAAUCCUCCCUAACUGAGUGAUAAAAGAAAAUAAUUUCCUGCUUAUCUCGCUGUCUCACCUGUAAGAGAGACUCCAUACACAUGAAUUAUGGCCCAUGAGAGGUGUGAUGCAGCGAGCUGUUGAGAGGUCCCACAUCAUUAUGGUUCCAUCUUCAUCACCAGAGGCCAUAUAUCUCCCAUCUGGUGACAUCGCCAAUGAUAAAACCAUACUCCUGUGCCCAAUGAAUAUCCUGACACAUUCCCCAGUUUGCACAUCCCAGAGUCUCACCGUCUUAUCACUAGAACCGGUCGCAAUGUAGUUACAAUUGGGAUGCCACUGUACACACUGAAACAAGGAUUUUGACAAGUACAUGAAAGGCACAUCAAUAGUUAUCCAAAUGGAAACUGAGAUCGCUUAUUUGUAUUACUGUCAAUCCAAAUAGUUAAGUAAUCCAACGUAACCUUAUGACUUCAACGAGCUUAGAUGACAAUCUCUAAAUCAACUAUAAACUGGUAGUUUUCUCCAAAAAAAACUAUAAACUGGUCGAUUCAUAACUUAUGAUUGCCAGGGCCAAAUUAAAAAUACGAAAAGCUACUAAUCUAAGUCAAUAAACAAUGCAAAGUGUUAGGCAACCAUUUAAACUGUGACACGGUAGACUAAUGCCGUGCAUGAAUUAAUAACUCAAACGGUCCCUUUUAUUUAAACUCUGUAAAUUAAAACCCUAACGAUCGUGAGGGAGACGCUUACAUCAACAUCAGAUAGAUGCCCUGCCAUUAUCCGCAGAGGUUGUACUCGGUCCAUCGACCAAAUCCGUGCAGUGCGAUCAUGAGAACAGCUUGCAAAGUAAUGCCCGAAAGGGCUAAACUGCACCAUGAAACGAGUAUAUAUACAUGACCGUUCUUCAUAAAUUCCAGUUUAUAUAAGACAAAUGUGUGAAAAUUGAACAGUUAUACCUGGACAUCCCAUACAGGGUAAUUGUGACCUUUGUAGCACACAAGAUUGGCAUUUAGUUGUGUGCUCCACAGCCGUACUGCACUUGUGAAUACAUGGUUGGUAACUAAGAAAACUCCAAACUAAUGACGGAGUAUAGGGAUAUGUAGAGGGAAAGACAUAUACAUACUCGUUGUAUCUGCUGAAGAAGAUAAUACAAAAUCUCCAGGUGGACUGAAAGUGGCCGAGUAAACUGGCCCUGAGUGACCCAGUAAUAAUGUAUAAUUUCUUCUGCCAUUUGGUCCAACGUUUUGAUCAUUUGUAUCACUUUCACCUUGCAAAGCACCUGAACCAGACAGCAUUAGUGUCUAUAAUUUCUCAUGGAAACACAAACAAGAAUCAUGAAAAAAAAACGAACAAGGGAAAUGUAUGAAGAAUGUAUCCUUUUUAAUUGCGGACGUCAAAAUAAUUGUUAUCACAAUGAAUGUCAUUAAAAACAUACCACUACCAGCUUGUCCUAUCUUCGCCAUGUCCCAGACCUGAACACCAUAAUCAUCAAUUAGAUAUCAUUUCGGAGAGUAAGAAAACAAAAGGAGGAAAAAAUAUACAACCAUUCAAGAAUAAGAUACCUUUAUUGAUGAAUCUGAGAAGCCACCAGCAACCAGAGAACCAUCAUGAGAUAUAGAUGCACAGUUUAAGCUGGGGGGCGAUAAAUGAGUGAGCAACAAGUUGCAAAUAAGCAGCAAAACAUUAGGAGGAGAUGAGGACAUUACCCGUUAUGAGUAUUAACAAAUGUAUAAAAGCUGACAGAUGGCAUUGCAACACUACUCAACUGCACACGGUUUCUCAGGUCUUCAAGGAUGGAUUCUUCUACAUCCGUUGACCUGACAUAAAGAAAAUUAAGAUGGAAAAAAAUCUAAGUUACAGUAGAUUAAGUUUUUCACACCUACUAUAUUUAUUUUCUCCUUUAAUCAGUCAUGCAUCGUCCAUAUAUAUUGUCUGUUCAUUACUCUUUCAUAAAAUCCUAACACAAAAAUGAGUUUAAGGGAUUCAAAAUUACAUGACUGGCAAGGCAAGUUCCGGUUUCACACGUGGUGCCGGCGAUACUAUGCUGGUCUCCUGACGUGCAACCUUUGCUGUUGCAUUUCCUGCUUUGUCCUUCUUUAACUUUUUUAAGGAAGAGCCUUGCUUUCCAAUUUCGUUGGAUCUUUUCUGAACACGGUAUCAACUGACGAGUGAAUAUGGAACUUUUCGUCCAGAAAAUUAUUGAUCUAAGUUGAAGCUUCUUAUCACCUUACUAUCGUCCACGUCCCCGUCUUUACUUUCUCCUUGUCCCUUCUCAGAAUCAGACAGUAGACUUCCCGUCUUCUCGAGGCGAUCUUCGAGCGAGUCUUCAAGCAACUAUGAAAGAAAAACGCACAUGUAGUUAGCGACUUCGCAAGUAUAAUAUCUUUGCUCGGAUGAGGUAUCAACAGGCAUCCAUCCAGAAAAAAAAAAGAGAGAGAGUAAAAGAAGCCUUAAGAAAAUACAUACUCCCCACUGUAUUUCUUUUUGAUUAAUGUGAUCAGCUGUCUCCUGAAAACUCCCAACAAUGGUGACAGCGUCUAUGUCAUCAGAUGAGGAAUUUGGUUGUCCCGAGUAGACUGCAACAAAUGACCCACGAAAAAACAGUGGACUCAGUCUGCUACUCAGAUAUAUGCUACAGGCUUAGGCAUAUAUACGAGAAAGUAACACAAUUACCUUGGAAAUUGAUGUGCUCGUUAAUAAUACCAAGCAUUAAAGUAGAUUCCGUCCUAUGUAGAUACUGAAGCAACAGAUCAUAUGAAUACUGCAACAUUAAGCAAACAUAUUAGAAGUCUGCAGCCAUGGAAUCCAAUUAAUCAGACCAGAAACCUCGAAGCAUUUGCCAGUAACAACAGCUAGUAAUCAUUUUCCACUUUAGUUUACCUGACAAAUCUUGAUGUUGACCUUGCUUUGUCUAAGAGAACGAGCAAACUCCAUCUCCUGAUAAGAACCAAGGUCACAAGACAGUUGAAAAAAAAGGAAAAAGAUUAAAAAAAAAGAAUCCUUUAUCAACAUUAUAAGGUUAGCUUUAAAAACCUCUAGAUGAGAAGGAACAAGAACGCCUUCCAGCUUCUGAAGAUCCCGUAAAUGUAUCAUUUCAUGAUCUUUCCGGAAGCUGUUAAAGAAGGCUCUCGCUGGAAUACAAGCAAAAAUAAGCACUGUUUCAGAAACAACUCAAAAUGUGAAAUUGUUGUGACUUUGAGAAGUACCUUCUUGAGUGUGCCCUUUACCAACCAGGUCCAUGUAACAAUGAAUAAACACAGGAUACAUCACUCGGAGCAACUCAUGCUACAAAUCCAAAAGCAACUCAUUAGUUUUCUAAAAGGCUCAAAACAAAACGAGACUAAGAAGGGAUAUAAAAAAAUGCUGACUUUAUAUAGAUCCAACGAGUUAUAAGCCCAUGACCUAAGUUUGCUGUAACCGUCACGGUACCGAGUUGGAUCAUUCUCUGAUCUGCAAAAAAAACAAAUUGCAUCAACAAACAUCUAAUUUAUUCCCUCAAUCACUAGGAUAUAAUCAUAAACUACAAAUUGAUAAGAAAAUUCUCAACAUUUAGGGUUUCAAAUUUCACACAUAACCACACAAAAUUCCCCAAAAAUUCAAUCGAAAUUCCAAUUGAAACAUAAACAAUAGAGAGAGAUUACUGGGAGAAGGAGCGAAUAAGCUUGGUGAGCUCAGGAUCGUUAUGGUAAUCAGUGGAAUUGAAGGUGCCACCAUUGUUGUGGUGAAGAGCUUCUUGAAGCUGUUUAGCUGCGUUGUUGAAGCCCUUCUUCUUCAAGUAGCCCAUUACGAACUCGUCCACUUGCUCUGGAUCCAUUCUUCUUCUCUCUUCCUCUUCUCUCUCUUUCGCUCACUGAGUUCUUCUUCUGUUCUGAAUCGGUUGCUUACCCUUCCGUCAAAUCUCGGGUCUGGUGAAGCAAUUUCGAGUAAUCUCAAGGCCUUUUGAUUAAUGGGCCUGUUCUAACUGGCCCAAUAAAUUUACUUCCGGUUUAGAUAUACGGAUACCUGAUGGUAUUAAACUACAUAAACAUUAAUUUAAUUAUAUAUUUCGACAGAAAAAAAUUAUCAGAUAUAAGUUUUGAAUUCUUGGAUUUUUUUUUACUUUUACCUUUCUUUUUUUCUUUAUUUCUGAUUAUUUUCGAAUUUUAAGAUAUGAAAAAUUCACUAUGAUAGAUUUUUUUAAAGUUUUUGUCACAAAAAUAGUUUUCAAUGAAAAAAAUGACCAAAAUAAGUUUUACUAAAGGGUAAAAAUGUAUUUUUAUUCUAGGAUUAACUAAUCUAGACUUACGGACCCUAAGUUAGGGUUUAGAGAUAAGAAGUGAAAUUUUGGGGAUAUGGUUUCAAAUUUAAAAAAAAAUUAAAAUUUUCAAAAUAAAAAGAAGUUAUUUUGGUUUUUUCUAGUACUAUUUUUGUGACAAAAAUUUAAAAAUAGCUAUUUGACAGAAUUGAUAUUUUAAUAUUAACAUAUUCAUUAAAAAAACAUGGAGAAAAUAGACUCAAUUAUUGAAGUCUUUCACUCUCACCACUGGUAUAAGAGAUAGCCUGAUUAGAAAUUAGGGAGCCAAAACGUUUGUUCUCUAAAGGUGAAAAAUUUAGAUAGGUUACUGAGCGAAAAGUCUAGUUGAAUUUGGAUGAAUACAAGUUUUUUUUUAUAUCUAUGGCGUUAGUCAGUUAGUCGUCAUGUUAUAUACAUUAUCUGUGCUCAUUCUAGCAAAAUACUUAUAAAUAUUCAUUAAUUUGGUAGAUUAGUUUGAACCAGAAGUAACGGUCAUGAAAAGUUGCGUAGUUAUCAAAGACAAUGUGCUAAAAGCUAUGCGUUUAUAUAUGAUAGUUAUUAAGGUUGAACUAUAUGAAAACAAGGUGCUAAACGAUGGAUUUACAAAUGAUAGUUAUUACGGUUACAUACUGCUUCAACUAUAUAAAACCAAGGAUAGCAUUAACUCCACUGAGUAAGAACCGGGACAAGUUGAAGUGGAACUUUCUUAGGAGACACAAGCCCAUACGAUUCUUCAAGAUCAACAUCUUCUAUCUCCAUCCCUUCUGGAAGCUUCCAAUCAAAUCGAUAAAGAAGGUUGAUAAGAGUCAGGUGUGCCAAAGCCAUACCAGGACACAUCAUCCUUCCGCUACCAAACGGCAACAACUCAAAGUUCAAACCCUUGUAGUCAAUCUCAUUGUGUUAAUAAUGCGACACAUAGAAUUAAUAACUAAGUUACUUUCAAACGGUAUAAUUUUUUUCCGGAUGAGCUGGCAUAAGUUUUUUUUGUUAUAUAUAUAUGCUAAAGCCGGAUAUAACUUAUAGUGCGACACAUAAGAUUAGUGACUAGGCUAUUUUAACGAUUUUUCCAUUAAAAUAAAGUUAAUAUCGUGUGAUCUGCUAGACCACAUAUUAUAUAUUCAUCUUUACUUUAAUUAAUGUUAAAACUGAGAUAUGUUUUAGUUUACUAACGGCUCACAUAAAGAUUAGUUCAUCAAAGUAAUUUUGUAUUUAGAGUUAAGUAAUCAAAUUAGUGAGCAAAAUAUGAAGAAAAUCAAGAAUAUGAAUACCCUAUUUUCCAAUUGUUUGAUUCACAUAUUCAUGGUAGUGUAACUAAAACUAACAAAAUUAUUAACAAAACAUUUAAUUUAUACUCUCCUUUGCUAUAGAAUUUAAUUU